GACGAACGCUGGCGGCGUGCUUAACACAUGCAAGUCGAACGGGAUUUCGUAGACAGGCGCCUCGGCUAAAGAUUACUAAUGAGAGUGGCGAACGGGUGAGUAACGCGUGAGCAACCUGCCUAUGACAGAGGGAUAGCCUCGGGAAACCGGGAUUAAUACCGCAUAAAAUCGUAGAAACACAUGUUUCAACGGUCAAAGAUUUAUCGGUCAUAGAGGGGCUCGCGUCUGAUUAGCUAGUUGGGGAGAUAACAGCCCACCAAGGCGACGACCAGUAGCCGGUCUGUGAGGAUGGACCGCCACACUGGAACUGAGACACGGUCCGAACUCCUACGGGAGGCAGCAGUGGGGAAUAUUGCACAAUGGGGGAAACCCUGAUGCAGCGACGCCGCGUGAACGAAGAAGGUAUUCGUAUCGUAAAGUUCUGUCCUAUGGGAAGAUAAUGACAGUACCAUAGAAGAAAGCUCCGGCUAACUACGUG
rnacentral:rRNA from 1 species